CCCCACCCUCACCCCCGCCCGCCAGCACAUGACAGAGGCUGGGGCUCUCCAGGGAGCUGUGUGUUAGGAGUCAAACCCGAGGCCUCAUACGUGCUAGGCAAGAGGUCUACCAUGGAGUUCCACCCCGGCUCUGACAAAGAUUCCAGGCUUCAGCUAAUGAAAGCAAAAUAAUAGCUGAUCUCUUAUUUUCUUCUUGAAAAGCAGCUUCCGAAGAAACUUACUUGGGGAGACUUGUAGGGGAUUUAACCCCUCAGGUUCCGGUGACCUGGCAGUGACAUGCAGGCACAAACACCAGGAAAACGCACCUAUCAGGAAAACGGCCUUGAAAAAUACAAGUAAGAAGUGGACUUCAAAGGUUCAGAAUCCGUCUCUUGUUCAGAAAAAUGUACUGUGCUUAUUCAAUGACCUUUUAACAUAAAGCUGUAAGUGUCAAGAAACUUCAGUCUCCAAAGAUAUUUCCAAAAAUAAGA